GGUGAGAUGGCCGAGCGGUCUAAGGCGCCAGAUUUAGGCUCUGGUCUAGAAAUAGGCGUGGGUUCGAAUCCCACUCUCAUCA